AACAUGCAAGUCGAGCGAGAUCUUCGGAUCUAGCGGCGGACGGGUGAGUAACGCGUGGGAACGUACCCUCUUCUGCGGGAUAGCCACUGGAAACGGUGAGUAAUACCGCAUACGCCCUUCGGGGGAAAGAUUUAUCGGAGGAGGAUCGGCCCGCGUUGGAUUAGGUAGUUGGUGGGGUAAUGGCCUACCAAGCCUACGAUCCAUAGCUGGUUUUAGAGGAUGAUCAGCCACACUGGGACUGAGACACGGCCCAGACUCCUACGGGAGGCAGCAGUGGGGAAUCUUAGACAAUGGGCGCAAGCCUGAUCUAGCCAUGCCGCGUGAGUGACGAAGGCCUUAGGGUCGUAAAGCUCUUUCGCCUGUGAUGAUAAUGACAGUAGCAGGUAAAGAAACCCCGGCUAACUCCGUGCCAGCAGCCGCGGUAAUACGGAGGGGGUUAGCGUUGUUCGGAAUUACUGGGCGUAAAGCGCACGUAGGCGGAUUGGAAAGUAUGGGGUGAAAUCCCAGGGCUCAACCCUGGAACGGCCUCAUAAACUUCCAGUCUGGAGUUCGAGAGAGGUGAGUGGAAUUCCGAGUGUAGAGGUGAAAUUCGUAGAUAUUCGGAGGAACACCAGUGGCGAAGGCGGCUCACUGGCUCGAUACUGACGCUGAGGUGCGAAAGUGUGGGGAGCAAACAGGAUUAGAUACCCUGGUAGUCCACACCGU
rnacentral:rRNA from 1 species